GAUGAACGCUAGCUACAGGCUUAACACAUGCAAGUCGAGGGGAAACGAUAGAGAAAGCUUGCUUUUUCUAGGCGUCGACCGGCGCACGGGUGAGUAACGCGUAUCCAACCUGCCCAUCACUUGGGGAUAACCUUGCGAAAGUAAGACUAAUACCCAAUGACGUCUCUAGAAGACAUCUGAAAGAGAUUAAAGAUUUAUCGGUGAUGGAUGGGGAUGCGUCUGAUUAGCUUGUUGGCGGGGUAACGGCCCACCAAGGCGACGAUCAGUAGGGGUACUUGGAGGAAGGUCCCCCACAUGGGAACUGAGACACGGUCCAAACUCCUACGGGAGGCAGCAGUGAGGAAUAUUGGUCAAUGAGCGAGAGCCUGAACCAGCCAAGUAGCGUGCAGGAUGACGGCCCUAUGGGUUGUAAACUGCUUUUAUAAGGGAAUAAAGUGAGUCUCGUGAGACUUUUUGCAUGUACCUUAUGAAUAAGGACCGGCUAAUUCCGUGCCAGCAGCCGCAGUAA
rnacentral:rRNA from 1 species